AUGCAUGUUAUAAUAAAUUUUAUAUUUCCCAGGUUUAAAAAAAAAGCCAUCACAGAUGUUUGUGUGCGAAGAAUUCAUGAAGUUAUGUAUGCUUCUUUGAGUCGUAAAAAUCUUAAAUAAUUUUGUCUGCGGAAAUUAUUCAGCGAGUGCAUCCGUACACAAGUUAUUUACGUUAAAAAAACUUUGCAAAAUGGAUGGCUAGUAGGUGUAUCAUAUAAAUGAACGAACUGCGGAAACCUCUUAAAGAAGCCACGUGCUUAAGAGAAUAUUUGCAUAAAUAUGUGAGAGAUUUUUGGCGGAGAAACUGCUAAGGCAACUGUGAAGGCUUUAACUUUAGCCCUGCGAACCUCAUGAGCAUUGGUCUUAUUUUCAAGGCGGAAUUCGAUACACCGAUUUCUGCAAGAAUUAUAUUAUAAAAUAACUGAUGAUGCCGCAAAGGAUUACAUAAUAUGACUGAGUGCAAUGAUAAACUUUCUCUUUGAACUGCUGCGAUUAAGGUUUGGGAACUUGAUAUAUGCUCUGUUUCAAAAAAUCUGAUUGUACUGUGAAAGAUAAGAAUAAAAAUUUGAAAU